AGCAUACAUAUCGCAGCGCGGAGGGAUACGUACGUGAAUCGACAGCUAUCCAACUGUCAGUGGCGAUCAGAGUUGAGAGGAUGUCGCUCGGAAAUUUAUCAACGGAGGAUUUAAUCAGAGUUACUUCGUUUUGGAAUAGAAGUCACUGAAGAGGAGCGAAGUAAAUUCAAAGACAAUGAAGUUGACGGAGAAUCAGUGGACUAUGGAUUAACUGAGAGGAUGUUUCAGACCUUUUUGAAGGAUCGUUUAAGAAGCUAAAUUCAACCGAUUUGUUCAGCUGUGGAAAGAAACCGUGAGCCUGUCCCGGUACAUUCGGAGAAGGCUUCAGCAGAAUCAAAUCAUGCCAUCCCAUCAUCAGCCUUCCCAGCAGUUU